UACGUAGGCAGCGAGCGUUGUUCGGAGUUACUGGGCGUAAAGGGUGUGUAGGCGGUUGUUUAAGUUUGGUGUGAAAUCUCCCGGCUCAACUGGGAGGGUGCGCCGAAUACUGAAUGACUUCGAGUGCGGGAGAGGAAAGUGGAAUUCCUGGUGUAGCGGUGAAAUGCGUAGAUAUCGAGAGGAACACCUGCGGCGAAGGCGGGUAGCUGGGCCGACACUGACGCUGAGGCGCGAAAGCCAGGGGAGCGAACGGG
rnacentral:rRNA from 1 species